GGUUUCCGUAGGUGAACCUGCGGAAGGAUCAUUACCGAGUGUAGGGUUCCUAGCGAGCCCAACCUCCCACCCGUGUUUACUGUACCUUAGUUGCUUCGGCGGGCCCGCCAUUCAUGGCCGCCGGGGGCUCUCAGCCCCGGGCCCGCGCCCGCCGGAGACACCACGAACUCUGUCUGAUCUAGUGAAGUCUGAGUUGAUUGUAUCGCAAUCAGUUAAAACUUUCAACAAUGGAUCUCUUGGUUCCGGCAUCGAUGAAGAACGCAGCGAAAUGCGAUAACUAGUGUGAAUUGCAGAAUUCCGUGAAUCAUCGAGUCUUUGAACGCACAUUGCGCCCCCUGGUAUUCCGGGGGGCAUGCCUGUCCGAGCGUCAUUGCUGCCCAUCAAGCACGGCUUGUGUGUUGGGUCGUCGUCCCCUCUCCGGGGGGGACGGGCCCCAAAGGCAGCGGCGGCACCGCGUCCGAUCCUCGAGCGUAUGGGGCUUUGUCACCCGCUCUGUAGGCCCGGCCGGCGCUUGCCGAACGCAAAUCAAUCUUUUUCCAGGUUGACCUCGGAUCAGGUAGGG
rnacentral:rRNA from 2 species